GCCCCAUUAGCGCAGUGGUAGCGCGUUGCUCUUAUACUUUGGCUUCUGGUUGUCCAGCGCCCAUAGAUAUGCAAAGGCCGUGAGUUCGACCCUCACAUGGAGCA